rnacentral:rRNA from 1 species
GCGUCAAAGCGUCCCCGACCCUAAUUCAAAACACGAACACCACUCCCUGACAACUCACAGAGCAAUUCUAUUCAAUAAUAGAAGAACUAAUGCUAAAACUAGUAAUAAGAACCAAUUCUCCUUCACACCCCCCUCAAUCAGAAAUAGAUAAACUACUGAAAAUUAACAAGCUAAAUAAAGAAACAAAACAACCAAUCAAGCAAAAAUUUCCACAAUUUGUGACCCCAACACAGGAGUGUUUCAAGGACAGAUUAAAAGCCCAACAAGGAAUUCAGCUAAUAGACUCCAACUGUUUACCAAAAACAUAGCCUUUAGCAACACAAGUAUUAAAGGUCUCGCCUGCCCAGUGAUUCUUUCAACGGCCGCGGUAUCCUAACCGUGCAAAGGUAGCGUAAUCAUUUGUCUCCUAAAUAGAGACUUGUAUGAAUGGCUAACUGAGAGCCUAACUGUCUCCUAAGGCCGAUCAAUGAAACUGAUCUUCCAGUACAAAAGCUGAAAUAAACCCAUAAGACGAGAAGACCCUGUGGAGCUUAAAAUACACACUAUAUCUUAACAUAUUUAACCCACGGAAACAACCCUUUAAGACUAACAUAGCGUAAACUUUUUAGUUGGGGCGACUUUGGAAUACAAAAAACCUUCCAUGUAAGGGACUUUCCCUAUCAAGGCCAACUAGCCAAAAUAAAUUUUUUUUGACCCAGACAUCUGAUCAAC